rnacentral:lncRNA from 1 species
UGAUUCUGAGCCUGAGAUCCUGAAAAUAUUUCAGUUGUUGUUAAGAGGCUGGAGUUAGGACCCAGGAAGGACACAGCAGUGGGGAUAUAAAUAGAGAAGGAGAACAGAACAAGGUUUGAGGAGAGAGACUUACAUCACUCACUCCCUCUCCACCCAGAGAGCAGGACGGAGGUGUGAACUUGAGCCAGACCAGAAGGAGCUCCAGAGUGGCCGCAGGACAAGUCCGAGGAGCAGGCGGGUGCUCCAGGGAAAAACCACACACAAAACCUUCUUCGGAGAAAAGGGAAGCAGCAAACCUGACUGAGACAAACGGAGGCUUUUGAAAUAAAAAGAAAACACCGCAGGACGAACAGCCUCCCGUCCCAGGCGCAGGUCGCAGUCACAGUGGUGACCUGGGAUUGCUUUCCCGGGACUGUGAGUCGGGUUUGGGUUUCUCCUCCCUGCAUUCCACAGCUGCUCUGGUCAUCGCAGCGUGUUUAUUGAUCACUGAAGAAUCUCAAGUUUUGAGACAAGGAAGAAACACCCAUUAGAUCUCCAAAACAGCUGCGUUUCACAAACUUUAAGGAGACAGAACUUUUUUUUUUCUCCCUGGAACCUGUGAAAAUGUCCCUUUUCCAAGGAAGUGAAGGUUAAGAGGUCCCGUUCUCACAGACCCUCAGGAAUUUCACUUGGCUCUGAGCUUUGACCUCCCAGAAAGCCAUGGCAAAGCUGCUGCGGCUGUGCUGCUGGUACUCCCGCCUGCUGCUAUUUUAUUACAACUUUCAGGUGCGUGGCGUCUACUCCAGAUCGCAGGACCAUCCAGGAUUUCAGGUCUUGGCGUCUGCUUCCCAUUACUGGCCACUGGAGAAUGUGGAUGGGAUCCAUGAACUUCAGGAUACAACUGGAGCGUCCCGAACCCACCAGCUCACUGUGCUUCCUUCCCGUAAUGCUACCUUUGUGUAUUCCAAUGACUCUGCCUACUCAAAUCUCUCUGCAACCGUAGAUAUUGUGGAAGGGAAGGUCAACAAAGGCAUUUACCUGAAAGAGGAAAAGGGAGUCACGCUUCUCUAUUAUGGCAGGUACAACAGCUCCUGCAUUAGCAAGCCAGAGCAGUGUGGCCCUGAAGGUGAGUAGCUGAUCCCUGCGGCGUCUUUGUCAUGCAUUUCAUUAUCAGGGAGCACCUGCUCCUC